rnacentral:rRNA from 1 species
AUGUCAGCCUUCGCCGUUACCGCGCUAGUGACGCCGCUGGUGGGUGGUGCAGCCUGGACGCUGACCACGGUCUAUGGGCCCUCAGAGGAAGACGCCAAACCUCUUUUCCUUGCUGACCUGGCUCGGAUCCGUGGGCUUAUUUCCGGACCCUGGCUUAUAAUCGGGGAUUUUAACCUAAUUUAUGAAGCCCGGGACAAGAGCAACUCCAACAUCAAUCUGCGGCUUAUGGAGCGAUUCCGAUCGGCGCUAAAUAACAACGACCUCAAGGAGAUCAAUUUGUGCGGCAGGCGCUUCACAUGGUCAAACGAGCAAGCCUCGCCCACGCUGGUCCCCCUGGAUCGCGCCUUCUGCACGCCAGAGUGGGAUCUUCAGUUCAACGCAGCGCGGCUCCAACCCCUCGCCACGGCCAUGUCAGAUCACUGCCCUCUCCUCUUGACAUGU